rnacentral:rRNA from 1 species
UACGAGGGGUGCAAGCGUUGCUCGGAAUUAUUGGGCGUAAAGGGCAGGUAGGUGGUCUCAUUUGUCAGAGGUGAAAGCCUUGGGCUUAACCCAAGAAGUGCCUCUGAAACGGUGAGACUGGAGUCUUGGAGAGGGUCGUGGAAUUCCCGGUGUAGAGGUGAAAUUCGUAGAUAUUGGGAAGAACACCGGUGGCGAAGGCGGCGACCUGGUCCGAUACUGACGCUGAGGCGCGAAAGCGUGGGGAGCAAACAGG